ensembl:lncRNA
UUGUGGAGAAUCCCUCCACCAAUCAAACAAAUUACUGUUCCUUCAAUCGGCGCCUUUAAAUUAAUAGCCGGUGAAGAACUCGUCAUUUGGAUUAAAAAGUUUCCGCUUGGGCUUUCCAUGCUUGUUUUUCAUAAUGUCUGAAGUUUCUGCAACUGUAGACUUCUCAUUUCUUUCCUGCCUCUUUUUCUUUUCUCUGCGCUCUGACUCAGCCGACUCGCCCCCACCAUUUUUAAUUUUCUUCUUUUUCUUGUUUCUCGUGUCCAACGCCUGAUUCCCGGGUGUCUCCAAAGAUGCUAAAUCACGUUCGUCUGAGGUCGGCGCUUCCGUGGUCGCUUCGUCAUGGGUCGGCGGAUCCUGUUCUAUAACAUCACACCUUCUCUUCUUCUUUUUCAGCCCAGAGGCCUCGUCAAGGGGAGGAAACCCCGCGUCAGGUGCACCGUCUAAUCCUUCGCUUUCACUUCCCACACGUUUCUUUUUCCUCUUCCGAUGUGUUUUGCCUGGUUCCUGUCUGUUCUGCUCGUGAUCUUCUUCCACGCUGUCCUGCACCACAGACAUCUUCCUCUUCUUCUUCUUCUUCUGUUCUGUGACCCCAUUGAGAAGUUCCUCCUGAUCGCUGGCCAUGACCUCCAGUUCUUCUGGGCCCCCGACACGGCGCGCCGAGGCAGCGCCUAGUUCCCUGUCUGUCGGCACCUUGUUUUCCUCUACAUCAGCAACGGGGAAGGAUGACUUCUUCUUCUUUUCCUUUUUCCAUGCUGAAUAAUCACUUUGUGCCUGUGUGUCUUCAUAUUUAUCCCUGCUUACUCCUUCACUCUUUUUCUUCUUCUUCUUCUUCUUCUUGGUGGAAAAAGAGUCAUUCAUUUCCUCAAAGAUAGUUUUCUUCUUCUUUGGUGUCGCCCUGGAGUCUUUAGCCGUGGUAACAGGGUCAUCCAGAUAGCAGCUCACAUCUACACCCUCUAUUCCCUUGUCGGGAGCAUCGUUAGAAAGUGACUGUUGCUUCUUUUUGUCCUUUUUCCUUUUUACAAAACUCAACCCUGAUGUUUCUUGAGAGGUCGCAACAAUAUCUAAACAAUUUUCUGAUUUCCCCAACUGUUCCAUUGAUACCGCCAGCAAAUCCAAAGACCUAUUCAAUGCCCCCUUUGCUUUAUGUUCCUCUGUCACUACUAUUCCCAAAUCUUUUUUCCUUUUCUUCUUCUUCUUCUGUAUGUUAACACCAUCAUUUGGUGAUUCGGCAGCUGUGCUGGGCUGUAAAUGCUCAACAUCUGCACUACUUCUUUUCGUGCGUUUCUUCUUUCCAUCAUUCUCCACUCUCACUUCACUCUCCACGUUUCCAUCCACUUCCUGUCCGUCUCCUUCCCGUCCCGUUACCGGCUCAGAUGCUUCACUUCCCUUUUGUGUGGCAUGUCUCAAUCUUUUCUGAGACUUCAAAACGCCGGCAUCAUUCCCGUUGCACGUUUUUUGUCCCUCAUUUGCUUUUUGCAGAAAUGAAACGUUCCCGUCGCCUCGGGCGAGGCAUCGCUUUGUUUUUCGUGUGUCAGUUGUGGCUAGAGAGUUUGCGUCCACUGUUGCCUGUUUUGCGGUCGUCCCUUUCUGGGCCAGAACUUUGCAGGAAAAUUUUCCAAUGUCUGAGCUGUUGGCAUCUGAAGAUACGGAGGGCAUGAUUUGUUUGUUAUAACACGUCUCUGUUUGUGGGGGGUUUCCGGUGUUGGUGCCUUUCCCCCGGUGUUGUUUUUUCAACUGGUUGCACCAGUUCUGUUUGCUCCUUUUUGUGGAUAAUGCCACAAACUCUUUGAUCCCC